GACGAACGCUGGCGGCGUGCCUAAUACAUGCAAGUAGAACGCUGAAGGAGGAGCUUGCUCUUCUGGAUGAGUUGCGAACGGGUGAGUAACGCGUAGGUAACCUGCCUGGUAGCGGGGGAUAACUAUUGGAAACGAUAGCUAAUACCGCAUAACAGUAGAUGUUGCAUGACAUUUACUUAAAAGGUGCAAUUGCAUCACUACCAGAUGGACCUGCGUUGUAUUAGCUAGUUGGUGGGGUAACGGCUCACCAAGGCGACGAUACAUAGCCGACCUGAGAGGGUGAUCGGCCACACUGGGACUGAGACACGGCCCAGACUCCUACGGGAGGCAGCAGUAGGGAAUCUUCGGCAAUGGACGGAAGUCUGACCGAGCAACGCCGCGUGAGUGAAGAAGGUUUUCGGAUCGUAAAGCUCUGUUGUAAGAGAAGAACGAGUGUGAGAGUGGAAAGUUCACACUGUGACGGUAUCUUACCAGAAAGGGACGGCUAGCUACGUG
rnacentral:rRNA from 1 species